GACGAACGCUGGCGGCGUGCUUAACACAUGCAAGUCGAACGAAGUGGCGAACGGGGGAGUAAUACGUGGGUAACCUGCACUCCUUUUUGGGAUAAGCCUUGGAAACGGGGUCUAAUACCGAACAAAGGGGGAUGGGCUCGAGGGCUAUCAGCUUGUUGGGGGGGUGAUGGUCUACCAAGGCGGUGACGUGUAGCCGGCCUGAGAGGGUGACGGGCCACAGUGGGACGGAGAGACGUCGCGGACACCUACGGGAAGCAGCAGUGGGUGAUAGGGCACAAUGGGCGAAAGCCUAAUGCAGCGACGCCGCGUGGGGGAUGUAUGCUUUAGGAGUGUAAACCUCUUUAGACAGGGACGGUACCUGUAGAAAAAGCCACGGCUAACUACGUGCCAGCAGCCGCGGUAAUAC
rnacentral:rRNA from 1 species